AUUAACUGAAUCCAUAGGUUAAUGAGGCGAACCGGGGGAACUGAAACAUCUAAGUACCCCGAGGAAAAGAAAUCAACCGAGAUUCCCCCAGUAGCGGCGAGCGAACGGGGAGCAGCCCAGAGCCUGAAUCAGUGUGUGUGUUAGUGGAAGCGUCUGGAAAAAUUUUUUUUUUUUUUUGACAGCCCCGUACACAAAAAUGCACAUACUGUGAGCUCGAUGAGUAGGGCGGGACACGUGGUAUCCUGUCUGAAUAUGGGGGGACCAUCCUCCAAGGCUAAAUACUCCUGACUGACCGAUAGUGAACCAGUACCGUGAGGGAAAGGCGAAAAGAACCCC
rnacentral:rRNA from 1 species